CCAAUAGCGUAUAUUAAAGUUGCUGCAGUUAAAAAGCUCGUAGUUGAAUUUCGGGACCAAAUUGUUGGUCGUGCCUUGGUACGCACUGGCAUUAUUGGUUUCUCCCUUCUGACGAACCUUGAUGUCAUUAAUUUGGUGUCUUGGGAAAUCAGGACUGUUACUUUGAAAAAAUUAGAGUGUUUAAAGCAGGCUCACGCUUGAAUACAUUAGCAUGGAAUAAUGAAAUAGGACGUUUGAUUCUAUUUUGUUGGUUUCUAGGAUCGACGUAAUGAUUAAUAGGGAUAGUUGGGGGCAUUAGUAUUCAAUUGUCAGAGGUGAAAUUCUUGGAUUUAUUGAAGACUAACUGCUGCGAAAGCAUUUGCCAAGGAUGUUUUCAUUAAUCAAGAACGAAAGUUAGGGGAUCGAAGACGAUCAGAUACCGUCGUAGUCUUAACCAUAAACUAUGCCGACUAGGGAUCGGAUGAUGUUAAUUUUUUAAUGACUCAUUCGGCGCCUUACG
rnacentral:rRNA from 1 species